rnacentral:rRNA from 1 species
GCAAGUCGAGCGAAAAGGUUUUGAAUGAUUCUUCGGAUGAAUGAUAAACUGGACAGCGGCGGACGGGUGAGUAACGCGUGGGUAACCUGCCUUAUACUGGGGGAUAACGUUUUGAAAAGAACGCUAAUACCGCAUAAGCGCACAGUAUCGCAUGAUACAGUGUGAAAAACUCCGGUGGUAUAAGAUGGACCCGCGUCUGAUUAGCUAGUUGGUGAGAUAAAAGCUCACCAAGGCGACGAUCAGUAGCCGACCUGAGAGGGUGAUC